rnacentral:rRNA from 1 species
CGCGGGAGCAAUCCUGGCGGCGAGUGGCGAACGGGUGAGUAAUACAUCGGAACGUGCCCAAUCGUGGGGGAUAACGCAGCGAAAGCUGUGCUAAUACCGCAUACGAUCUACGGAUGAAAGCAGGGGACCGCAAGGCCUUGCGCGAAUGGAGCGGCCGAUGGCAGAUUAGGUAGUUGGUGAGGUAAAGGCUCACCAAGCCUUCGAUCUGUAGCUGGUCUGAGAGGACGACCAGCCACACUGGGACUGAGACACGGCCCAGACUCCUACGGGAGGCAGCAGUGGGGAAUUUUGGACAAUGGGCGCAAGCCUGAUCCAGCCAUGCCGCGUGCAGGAUGAAGGCCUUCGGG